GUCCUAGCCGUAAACGGUGGGCACUAGGUGUAGGAGGCAUCGACCCCUCCUGUGCCGCAGCUAACGCAUUAAGUGCCCCGCCUGGGGAGUACGACCGCAAGGUUGAAACUCAAAGGAAUUGACGGGGGCCCGCACAAGCGGUGGAGCAUGUGGUUUAAUUCGAUGCAACGCGAAGAACCUUACCCAGAUUUGACAUGUGCCGGACUGGUGUGGAAACACACCUUCCCUUCGGGGUCGGUACACAGGUGCUGCAUGGCUGUCGU
rnacentral:rRNA from 1 species